CCGCACCUUUACUAUAGUCGACUGAGGACAGGCUUGCGCCUCUCUGCUCUGUUUUUUUAUCUGCGUUCGUGUUGUUCACAUCUAUUUUGUGUUAUUUUAUUUUAGGGUAAGCGCGCUUCUCGCGGAAACGGCAGCGUGCUCGUGAUCCGAAAUGGCCUGGACGGUGCACGAGGAUGAGUACAGGACGGAGGGGUACACCAAUCUCGAGGAGAUCUUGCAGUACGUGGUGUACACGGAGGAAAGUGUGCAGCAGCCAAAGCCUACUGUAAAGUACACCAAGAGCUCGCAGGUGUUUGCGAUGCCGUCUCCGCUGACUGCCGCGGAGCUGAGCUCGCCUAUCAACCAUCAACUUACGAAUACUGUCCCAUGGCAGCCACAGAGCCACACGCCGACUAACUCUUCCUUCCACAGCCUGGGCAUUCCGUACACGUCGGCUCAGAGUCCACAGCAGCGCCGCUGCAACAAUCGCUUCAACGGCAGCUACAGUGGCCACUGCGACCGUAAACCAAAGAUCGUGAGCGGUAGUGAGACUUGCGUCCUCUCUCCUGGCGCGAGAAAGCGGGGCAUGAGUACGGGACAGAUGGACCACAUGAUGGCCACAGAGUUGAAUAGUAUGCCGGUGCCUGAGCUGAUCAUGCAGGAGGUGCUCGCUUCGCAGGACGUGAUGGUGGGAGGAGGCUACGGCGACUGGUCAGGACAUGGUAGCAAGUACUUCCAGGGUGGUGCCCUCACCGCCGACAGCCUGCGGGGCAGGGUUUACGAAACCGCGAAGGAUCAGCACGGUUGCCGCUAUCUGCAGCGGUGGCUGGACACGAACUGCGACACCGAGGCGUUGCAGGUGAUGAUGGACGAAAUCAUUCCGCACGUUGGGGAGCUGAUGACAGACCAGUACGCAAACUUUCUCAUUCAAAAGCUGUUCGACAUCAUGCCCGAUGAUGUGCGAUACAAGGUCGCCGUCGUGGCAGCGCCACAUAUUUGCAUGAUUUCCCUCACGCCGCAUGGCACAUUUAGCGUUCAGAAGAUGAUCGAGACUAUCUCGACGCGCGAGGAGAUGAAGAUCAUUUGCGAGGCGCUCGCCAAGGAUGUUGUUCGGCUAGUCAAGGAUGCACACGGGAACCAUGUGAUUCAGAAAGUGCUUCAGCGCUUCGACUUUGACGACAAGGAGUAUAUCUACAGGGCAGUGGCGACGGACUGCGUGUCGAUUGCUAAGAACAAGCAGGGUUGCUGUGUGCUGCAGCGGUGCCUCGAACACGCUUCACCGCGGCAAAAGGCUGCCCUUGUGGAUCAGGUGCUGGCUUGCUGUUUGCAAAUUGUCCAGGAUCCAUUUGGCAACUACGUCCUCCAGUACGUGCUGGAGGCGCACGACAGCAAGAUAAACGACACCAUUGCCCUUGCGUUUCUUCCCCACCUGGUGCAGCUAUCCAUGAACAAGUUCAGCUCCAACGUGAUGGAGAAAGUGCUGCGCGGUGCCUCGAGGCCAGUGCAAGUAAUGUACAUGGAGGAGAUGUGCAACCCGGAGAUCAUCUCCCACCUCAUUCAAGACGACUACGGCAAUUAUGUCCUGCAGACAGCGCUCACGAUAAACGCGCCGGUGCAGGCAGAGCAACUCGUGAACGCCAUUCGCCCUUUUAUGCCGUUGAUCAAGAACGCACCGUACGCGAAGAAGAUGGAGGGCAAGAUGGAGGCUGUUGCACGGAAGAUCGAGGGCAACAACUUCCACGCGCCCCGAGACUGCGAGAUCGACGCUCGUCAAGGGAGCAGCAGAGGCAGCCCGCACGGCAAGUUCGACCGCUCCCCCAACCACGGACGGCGUUAAGUAGGUGGUACAGAUUAGCAGCAGCCUUAUAAUCAUCCCACAUGAUGGCGCGCACCGUAGUGCUGUUGCCCGUGCUGAAGGCCUGAUGUGAGCGACGGAAGCGAAAGCGUCGUCUUCACAUGCACGUUCGAGCGCCUUCAAGCGCUGCUGGGAUCUUCAUCAUCACAAUGGAGCUCACUGCCCCCCUCCCCAAAAAAAAAGCGAAGCAACUGGAGGAGGCACGUAACGGUCAAUCAAGGGGCGUUGGCCAUGACAGCCGCGCGGCUUGAGCAUUCUCUGAGGUGCUCCCUCCCUCUCCGCAUGACUUCUUGCCACUGAGGGGUGAGCAAGAGGCGUGGGAACGAAAAAAAGGCGGGGAAACAAAGAUAGAAUAAGCCGCCUCAUGCCCAUGCGAGAGGUGGCAGAGUUCGGGGUAAGUGAUAACGGGGCUUUUGCACAUCUUGUGCGUUUAAAUGUGCGUGAAUAUGUGUACGUGGAAGUCAGAGACGUAUUCUGUUUCGCCUUCUUUUUCGUUUGACGACUUUCUUUUUGGCUGGUUCAAUUUCACGUGAUCUCGCCGCUUCCCUCGUUGUGUUUCCCCUCUCUUUUAUCCUGAUGACGCGAGACACCUCAGCGUGGUAUCUCAGGGUCCAGUACCCCCACUCUGCGUGUGGGACGCAGCCCAGCAGCCCCCAGAUUCUGCCAAUGCCGAGCCACUUCUGGUGGUGACAGGGUCAAGCGCCUACGACGUGGGGAAGCCAGAGCGGUUCAUCGCUGCUGAUGCUGGAGGUCAUGUCAUGGAUGGCGUUGCAUCGGAGAGACCUGCCACAGUGAACACCUGUGUGCCACCCAUGUGAUGGGCGAAAUGCCAACGUGACUCGGACGCGUCUCACCCGGCCCUCUGGCUGUCUACUGGUGGGGGAGCCUGAGGCUACCUCGAGGGGGACGCACGGGGUGGCGACUGGCAUGAUAGGAGCGGCUGUGCGGCGACCCGCGGAGCGGGCGGUGGGUGGAGCUUGAGGUAGAGGCCAUGCUCAUGUGAGUGAGUUUGCUUUGGACUAACGCGUGUCUACGGCUGCUUCGCACUACGCGAUGUGCCUGUGGCAGGGACAGAGUAGCGUGGAGGUGAAGCCAUGCUAUAUGAUAGAAUAGACAUGUUAGCAAAACAGUUCUCUUUUAUCACUGUAUAGUGUGUACAUUCUUGUUUUCAGGGAAAGGCAAACAUAUGUGCGUUUCGUGUGCGCGCGCGCCUUUUCCACUGAUUAUCUGUCUUUUUAUUUUGGUAUUUUUGUUGCUUUAUGCCAUGCAGUCGCGUGGAAUGGAAUGAGGUGAAGAAGGGAGGACGGAGAGGUCGAGCGGAAAUGAGGGAGUUCCACGGCAUCAACGGACCUUCGCCGUAUUCGUGUCUGCCCUCUUUCUUUCAGCUUCUUAAGUCUAUGCUGCAAUGUCUGGCUGCUUAGCCCUCGCCCCACUCUAGCUCUCUCCAUCGCUUGCUUUCAAAGACGCACACUGACCUGCGUAUGCGCGUGUUUUGUUCACGUGCUUUUUCUUUUUGUGGUGAUGCGUGCCUCCUACAGACCCACGCAGACAGCCUUACGCGCCGUGUUCAGAGGGCGAAUUGGUGUGCUGCUGUGUUUGUGUCGGAGGUCAUCACACGCGCCUUAGGUUGCGCGGAGCCUUUGUUGAGCGGCCUGCGUUACCUUGCGUGCCCCUUUAUGAAUGUGAAUGCUCAAGAAGUCGCUCCAUGUUUUCUAUUGCGUAAGCGCAGACGCAGACAGAAAUACGCAUAAACACAUACAAGCACACACACACACACGUCCCCAUACAGAAAACCACUUUCUUUUUUAUUUGCGUUCUCCUCUCUCAUUUCCGCCUUUUUCGUUGCUACUGAAUCAGAUUUUUUUUUUUUGCCAGCAAUGGGUGUGAGAGUGUAGGCGGGUGGGAUAAGGGAGGGAAAGAGCGGGGCGACCAGCACGAGCGGUGCAUAGCGCCGCGUCUGGGUGAGCCUUUCAUUACCUCCCACUCCACCAGCAUCCCCUUUUGUUAAAUGGUGAAUCUCCACCACCUCGUCUGAUCCUCACUUUUUCGACUCUGCUCCUGCUGCGCACAUCUGACUCGCGCUGCAGUCUAUCUGAUCGCCCCUCUCUCGUGUGAUGCUGUCACAGCUGCGACGCAAUCGGCCCCCCUCGAAUGUGGUGGGGGUAUUUGUGUGCGUGUGAAUCAUCGCUAUGAGCACAAAAUGACACGCAGAGGAGAACACAGCGGCAGGGAAAAGAGAGCACACACACACACACUCAACAUCGAAAUCUGUUUUGACUCUCAAGGAGCACAACACUGCAACAGAAACUGCAUGCCCCCCCCCCUCCCGCGCCGCGGGUGAGGAAGGGACGGCGGGUAGGUGAAGCUGCGGGGAUGGGCUGGGGGACAGACAGAUGAUGGCUUGAAUAGGAGCCGAAGGCCAGGCGCGGGAUUCGCUCCCGCACAAAAAAAAAGACAAGGAGAAAGGCAGACGACAUCGAGACCUAGCGACAGAGAGAGAGCAGAGGCAAGCAAGUUGAGUAAGGUGAAGUAGCGACUAAUGACAGUGUUCGAUGCCUGGAGUCUUGUGCGUAUUGGUGAGCGUCGCUCGUGCUACCGCGUGAACAUGAGCAACCCUUCACAGAUACACAUACGUCUAAAUUUCUCGGAGUCAGCUGCUUUCUCUCGAACCCCUUCAUACAACCCUCAGAUUACUCUCCAUCAUACCAGCUCCGCUGUCCUUUUUUUUUUAUCGCUUCUUCUGCCUUAUCUAAACAGCUUUGGUUUUUCCUCUUUCCGUGCGUUUCUCUCGGCCCCUCCCCUCCCCCUCCCUUUCUACCAGCCUUUACAUGUGUACUUGUUCGAAAGUCUGUGCCGCUGACAGUUUUGUGCACGCUCCCGUGCACGACAUGCGAAGACGCAUACAUGAAGCCGUGAUGGGCUGUGCUGAUCCCGCCCCUUUUUUUUCCGUCCUUCUUGAUCUCACUGCUUUGAGGGGAGGGGGAUACGGUGCAUGUCCUUCGUAUUUUUUAUCUUUCUUUUCGGACUGUUGUUGCAUACGCUCGACCCCCGCCCCGUUUUGGGACGUUUUCUUCAUUCUUUUUUUUUUGCUGUUUUGUUUCUCAUUUUGAGGGCCACUGUGCACGACGCACGCUGGUGUACUUUGGUGCCGCGCACGCUCUCCCCUCCGAACUCCUCGAGGUAUGUCCUUUGCUGUUUACGUCCCUCUAUUUAAGUUCUGUUGUGUGUGUUGUCCUUCCCAUCCUCCUCCUCCCCGCUUUUUCCUCUCCCGUCCGUUUCUUCCGUUCUCUCUCGAGAGAGUGCUCUACUGUGGGCCGCUCGCCUGGUUGAGCGGAGUACGGCCCAUGCCGCAUCGGGCAGCUGAGUGCUAUGUGCAGCAGCAGCAGCAGCGAGCGGCGAGGCCGACAUUGAAGGGCAGUGAAGGAAGAAGGUAAAUGGCGAUGCCACCAAGUAGAAUACGACAGGUUAAGAGAAAUAAGAGGGAAGGAGGGAGGGUGGGGAAAAGAGAAAUUCGCUGAUACGUAAGGCCACUUACCCUGUACAUUUUUUUGAUUUUCGUGUUUCUAUGCCCACUAAGGCGGUUGCUUUUCGUGUUUCUCCAUCAAUCUAGUCGUCCGCGCACUGCCGCAGUAAAGAUACCCUUAUUCAGAGAAUGCAAACAGGUUG
rnacentral:misc_RNA from 1 species